rnacentral:rRNA from 1 species
UACGUAGGUGGCAAGCGUUGUCCGGAUUUACUGGGUGUAAAGGGCGUGUAGCCGGGUUGACAAGUCAGAUGUGAAAUCCUGCGGCUUAACCGCAGAACUGCAUUUGAAACUGUUGAUCUUGAGUACUGGAGAGGCAGACGGAAUUCCUAGUGUAGCGGUGAAAUGCGUAGGUAUUAGGAGGAGCACCAGUGGCGAAGGCGGUCUGCUGGACAGCAACUGACGGUGAGGCGCGAAAGCGUGGGGAGCAAACAGG